rnacentral:rRNA from 1 species
CCAGUGAACAAUUUAACGGCCGCGGUAUCCUAACCGUGCAAAGGUAGCAUAAUCAUUUGUCUACUAAUUAUAGACCAGCAUGAAAGGCAAAAUGAGGGUUUGACUGUCUCUUAUAAUUAAUCAAUUAAACUGAUCUCCCAGUAAAAAAGCUGGAAUAACCCCAUAAGACCAGAAGACCCUGUGAAGCUUAAACUACACUAUUAAACCCCAUAAUAGCCACUUUUGGUUGGGGCGACCUUGGAAAAAAAAAGAACUUCCAAACACAUGGUAUAUAUAUAUACCACCAAUAGGCCAACAAGCCACACAACGACCCAGCAUAGCUGAUCAUUGAACCAAGUUACUCCAGGGAUAACAGCGCAAUCCUCUUCA